ACUCUGUGAUGAGAAUUAGCCAAAUCUGAGCGCCAAAAAGAUCAGCUGGUCUGUGCGGUGCAUGAUUUGUAAACUGUUCUGGGA
ensembl:snoRNA small nucleolar RNA U2-19